rnacentral:rRNA from 1 species
AUUGAACGCUGGCGGCAUGCCUUACACAUGCAAGUCGAACGGCAGCACGGGUGCUUGCACCUGGUGGCGAGUGGCGAACGGGUGAGUAAUACAUCGGAACAUGUCCUGUAGUGGGGGAUAGCCCGGCGAAAGCCGGAUUAAUACCGCAUACGAUCUACGGAUGAAAGCGGGGGACCUUCGGGCCUCGCGCUAUAGGGUUGGCCGGUGGCUGAUUAGCUAGUUGGUGGGGUAAAGGCCUACCAAGGCGACGAUCAGUAGCUGGUCUGAGAGGACGACCAGCCACACUGGGACUGAGACACGGCCCAGACUCUUACGGGAGGCAGCAGUGGGGAAUUUUGGACAAUGGGCGAAAGCCUGAUCCAGCAAUGCCGCGUGUGUGAAGAAGGCCUUCGGGUUGUAAAGCACUUUUGUCCGGAAAGAAAUCCUUGGCCCUAAUACGGUCGGGGGAUGACGGUACCGGAAGAAUAAGCACCGGCUAACUACGUG